rnacentral:rRNA from 1 species
CCUACGGGUGGCAGCAGUGGGGAAUAUUGGACAAUGGGGGGAACCCUGAUCCAGCCAUGCCGCGUGUGUGAAGAAGGCCCUCGGGUUGUAAAGCACUUUCAGUGAGGAAGAACGCCUGGUGGUUAAUACCCAUCAGGAAAGACAUCACUCACAGAAGAAGCACCGGCUAACUCCGUGCCAGCAGCCGCGGUAAUACGGAGGGUGCGAGCGUUAAUCGGAAUUACUGGGCGUAAAGCGCGCGUAGGUGGCUUGAUAAGCCGGUUGUGAAAGCCCCGGGCUCAACCUGGGAACGGCAUCCGGAACUGUCCAGCUAGAGUGCAGGAGAGGAAGGUAGAAUUCCCGGUGUAGCGGUGAAAUGCGUAGAGAUCGGGAGGAAUACCAGUGGCGAAGGCGGCCUUCUGGACUGACACUGACACUGAGGUGCGAAAGCGUGGGUAGCAAACAGGAUUAGAUACCCCGGUAGUC